GCCCUCCGCCCGCCGCGUCCGCCGCCUGAAGGAAGCUUCUUUUCCCGCGCCUCGCGCGCUAGCGCGGGUGGCAGAGAAGGAAGUGACGCACCGGGAUUUUAUUGGCUGCAGACACACGCAGCAUCUUCUUGCGCUCCUCCUUGAGGUGGAUGGGCAGCUAGCUGGAGAUGACACAGGAUGAUGCGCAUCUUUCGCACGCUGGCUCCAAGAUCUCCGCUGCCAGAUGCAGCAACAAAGCUUCUUUGUACAGACAGCCCUGGACACACUUCCAGCAGCAAUUCUUCUUGCAGGAACUGGUGCAAGAACAGGAUUUAUUCGUGGCACAGGAGCAGUUGGUGUCCACUGGGAGUGGAGGCAGAAGAGAGACCAGAGCGGUGACUUCAACAGAAGUGGAGUAAAUAAAGAUGAUCACAGAACUUGGAAGCUGACGAAAUUAAUUUUGGAAAAGAGCUGGCUUGGAGCAUGACAGAAGAAUUCGAUGGAAAGAGUGCUGGGAGCCCAACUCAAGACUGAUGUGUGCUUGGCAGGCAGUCUACCCCCGAUCUCAGUCCUCCAGCCUUUCGGCCUUUUUUCCUUUUUGGAGACAGAAUUGCAUCAUAUGGCAUCCUACACAGUCCUGCCUCAGUCUCUGCAGUGCUGGGAUUGUAGGCCUAUGCCACCUAGCCUUUCUACAAUACAAACAAAUAUGAAAAGAAGAGGGACUUCUUUGGAAAGGAGUACAGGGACUAUGGAAGAGAUGAAAAGAUAAUAUUGUCAGAAAUUAUGCCGCUUUUGAAGAGAUAAACUGAACUCUUGAUUCUGUGAGGUUAUUAAAGAAUAUUAAUUUUCAAAUCACGGUAAAAUCUUGAUUCAGCAACACAUGAGGAUAAUCAUUGUGUCCAUGGAAACCUUGGGAAGCAGUUGAAAGCCUGGUCCCUCUUGCCUGGAGCAUUAACACAACGUGGCUGCAAAGUUAGUCCUUUCCCGCUACCAUCUCCUGAAUACUGGGACUAACUACACGUAUGCACGAACCUGCCCAUCUUUGCCUCUGUUAACAGCUGCCACUGUCUCUUCACGACAUGAUGGCUGACCUAGGUUGGAAGGAACAGAGCCAGUUGGCCAUGGACUGAAACUUUUGGAACUGAUUCUGAGGAGUUAAUGUUUCCAUGAAUAUCUCAGAAGGAGAUGUGGACAAACGAACAGUUAUCUCACUCCUGUAGCUGGCUGAGCUUUUUAAAGAUGGCUAUUCUGAAUUCUUCACAGAUGGCACAGUGUCAGAAUCGUGUGUGGCCUCCUGCUGCCUGAACCAUGCCGCUAAGACAGUUGCCCACUGUGCAGCUUCACACCAUCUGCAGAGAGCAACACUGCAGAGCCUUUGGGAGAGCCUUGCCAGUCGCUGAAAGCCUGGCUGACUGCCAAGCCUUGCACUGUAGACUGAAAAUUGCUCUCUUUGCUGAGCUCAGUACUAACACUUAGAUCUUCAUGGUCUCCUGGGAGACCAUGUCAGCUGCUGUUCAGUGAGAUAAAUUUGGAUCAGCUGAAGAUAUGCACUCUCUAUGCCUUCCUUGACUGUCAGCUAAACAGUGUGCACUCCUGGCUUAGUACAGCCUUGGCUGCUGAGAGCCCCAUUCCUCCCCUGUGCUCUUCAUUGUCCUCAUGAUCUGGCUUUCAUCAUCCAUUAUACUCCUAACACUGGGAGUGAAGUGUCAUUGAAGAAUGUUCAUCAGGCACUACCUCAAAGGGCUGGAGAUGAUUGGUGAAUGCUUUGAUUCUUCAUUCCUCCUAGGACACAUAUCAAGCCCCCAGAAUUUCUCUCUAUCCAGUUGCACCAGUGUGAGGAACUUGACGGUGUCAGGAAAGUGAAACUGCUUCUCUGCUCCAUAUAAAUGUCUGUGCAGAUGCAAAGCCAUGCAUUACAUGGUAGCUCACCUUUAAUCCUAGCACUCAGGAGACAGAGGCAGGAGGAUCUCUCCGAGCUCAAGGCCAGCCUGGUCUUCACAGUGAGUUCCAGGACAGCCAAGGCUACACAGGAAUCCUGUGUACAGGUCCUUGGUAUUGCACUCCUCUCUAUAAACACAACUUGCUUUUAGAAUGUGUGGUUGUUAAGUUGUUCUGUGAAGGAUGGAUAAAGGCUAGCUCACUACUACACCCGUCAGCUUGCUCCUGUCACUUCUUCUCACCUUUGAGCACUUAGCAUCCCUCUCCGUGUUGUCUUUGCUGAAAUGCUUGCUAAGGCGAAGCUCCUCUGUAGCUGUCCUCUAGCCCCAGCCAAGAUUCUUUCAAGAUUUUUCUUUGGCCUUCUGUAAUUUGAAUAUGAUGAAUGUUUUUAUUUACUACUUCAUUUUGUAUUUUGAAUCUUUUUUAAACCAUGCCAGGUUCUCUAGGCUCCUGGUUCUGAUAUGAAUUGAGCGAUUAUCUUAGGCCCUUGUGUUUCAAAUCUUUCUUUCUUUCUUUCUUUCUUUCUUCCUUCCUUCCUUCUUUUCUUUUCUUUUCUUUUCUUUUUUUUUUUUGAGACAGGGUUUCUCUGUAUAGCUCUGGCUGUCCUGUAACUCACCCGGUAGAUCAGGCUGUCCUUGAACUCAGAAAUCCGCCUGCCUCUGCCUCCCAAGUGCUGGAAUUAAAGUCAUGUGCCACCACUGCCCGGCUUACUCAAAUAUUUCCUUUUUUUUUUCAGUCCUCUCUAGUGAUCUCAUUAUACAUGUGUAUAUUCUCUAGUUGUCCCAGUUAUAUGAUGUUCUUCUCUCUCUCUCUCUCUUCCCCCCACCCUGUGUGUGUGUGCGCGUGCAUGCGCGCGUGCAUGUACCCAAGGAAACUAGAAAAGGACUUCAACUCCUUGACGAAGGAGGUACAAGCAUUUGUCAGCCACCUGAUACAGGUAGCAGAAUCUAAACUCUGAUCCACAUUAUUAAGCAGCAAGUGCUGUUACCUGCUAAACUAUCUCGCUGAAAUUUAUCUCUUAGAAAGUUUCUAAUAUAUUAUCACUGUCAGGGAUUCUUUGGCUUGGUUCAGUCUGCUAAUAAGCUUAGGAAAGGCAAUUUUCAUUUUGUUGCAAUAUUUUUGAUCUGUAGCUUUUGUUGUUAUUCUUGUUCAUUUUUCAAACCAGGGUUUCUCCACGGCUAUACUGGAACUCUCUGUAGACUAGGCUGGCCUCAAACUCUCAAAUAUCUCACUGCCUCUGCCUCCCAUGUUCUGGGAUUAUAUCCCUCCACUGCCCAACAGCAUUUAUUUUAUUCUUAAGAUUUGUUUUUCCCUGCUCGUUUGUUUGUUUGUCUGUUUGUUUGGUAUGGUCAUUUGUUUGUUUGUUUUGAUGUAUUUGAACUUGCUAUCUUUAUGUGAGGAUAAGCCUAAGUGUGUAAUAUUUCUGUACUCAUCUCCCAAAUGCUGAAAUGUAGACACGAACCACCACACACUAGGUUUGUUUGGUUUUCUUUUGCAUGCAUUUAUUGUAUUGUGUACAGUACUGGUACCAAAGGAGUCCAUCACAUUCUCUAGAACUUGAAUUACAGAUGGUUGUGAGUUGUCACAUGGUGCUGAGAAUUAAACUUGAUCUUCUUCUUUUUUAAAUUUAAAUUUCUUCACUUACAUUUAAAAUGCUAUCUGAAAAGUCCCCCAUUACCCCCCCCCCUCACUCCCCUACCUACCCACUCCCACUACUUGGCCCCGGUGUUCCCUGUACUGGGGCAUAUAAAGUUUGCAAGACCAAGGAGCCUCUCUUCCCAAUGAUGGCCGACUAGGCCAUCUUCUACAUAUGCAACUAGAGACACAAGCUCUGGGGUACUGGUUAGUUCAUAAUGUUAUUCCACCUAUAGGGUUGCAGACCCCUUCAGCUCCUUGGGUACUUGCUCUAGCUCCUCCAUUGGGGACCCUGUGUUCUAAACUUGAUCUUCUGAAGAGUAACCACUAUUGAUUUUAACUGCUAAGUCAUGUCUCCAGUCCCAAAAGAGGUUUUUUUGUUUGUUUGUUUUUCAUUACUGUGAUGAUCCUAUAAUGAAGAAGAGAAUGCUGGUGGUUUGUUUAUGUGUUUGUUUGUUUUUUGAGACAGGGUUUCACUGUGUGUCCUUGGCUGCCCUGGAAUUUAAGCAUCAGACUGGCCUUGAUCUCACAGAGAUCUGCCUACUUUUGCGCUGAGAUUAAAGGUCUGCACUAACACCUCCCAGCCAGAUGUCUCUUUAACAGACUGACUUUACUUCCUCACGAGUAUUAUGAUGGUUUCUUCCUGUCCUGUGAGGAAUGCUAUUGAUUUGGGGUUUGGUUUGUGGAAUUUUUGUUUUCUGGUUUUUUGUAAUUUUUCCCCCCUAAAUAUCAUGCUGUCUUAUUCUUU
rnacentral:lncRNA from 1 species